GUGCCGUUGGUGUAGGGGUAACACACAAUCUGAGUUUGUUGAUAAAUCCGCCUAUCCAGGUUGAGUCCUGGGUUCGAAUCCCAGACGGCGCA